UACAGAGGUCUCAAGCGUUUGUUCGGAUUCAUUGGGCGUAAAGGGUGCGUAGGCGGCGCGGUAAGUCGGGUGUGAAAUCUUGGAGCUUAACUCCGAAACUGCAUUCGAUACUGCCGUGCUUGAGGACUGGAGAGGAGACUGGAAUUUACGGUGUAGCGGUGAAAUGCGUAGAUAUCGUAAGGAAGACCAGUGGCGAAGGCGGGUCUCUGGACAGUUCCUGACGCUGAGGCACGAAGGCCCAGGGGAGCAAAACGGG
rnacentral:rRNA from 1 species